rnacentral:misc_RNA from 1 species
GUAUCGUGAAUCGAAUGUCCGUGAUUGGACAUUCGAGACAGCGGAUUAUUUAAUUUGUAUCGAGGAUUGUUCAAUGAAACGCACCUAUGCACCUUUCACCGGGCGAGACACGUGUCUUAACGCUUUCGACUAUUUCAACAGUUUGUUCAUCUUCGAAUUAGAAAGAUAAUGGAAGAGAUUAGAAGAAGACAGAUCUACCAGCGAGCAACUUGUAUUCCACAUUUAUCCCGACUGAGCAAGAAACUCAGAGCUGAAACUGAGAGCUGAGAAUUGCAAUGAUCUGAUUAACUAAAACCGCCUCAAUCUCGGUUAAUUCGAUUAUCGAUUAAGAAUGGAAGAUGAUACGAUUAACUAGAAGACUCGAUAAUCU